rnacentral:rRNA from 1 species
GACGAACGCUGGCGGCGUGCUUAACACAUGCAAGUCGAACGGUGAAGGGGUCUGCUUUUGUGGGCCCUGGAUGAGUGGCGAACGGGUGAGUAACACGUGAGUAACCUGCCCCCUUCUUCUGGAUAACCGCAUGAAAGUGUGGCUAAUACGGGAUAUUCUGGGUCUGUCGCAUGAUGGGUCUGGGAAAGAUUGCGCCUUUGGGUGUUUUUGGUGGGGGAUGGGCUCGCGGCCUAUCAGCUUGUUGGUGGGGUGAUGGCCUACCAAGGCGGUGACGGGUAGCCGGCCGGAGAGGGGGGACGGUCACACGGGGCCUGAGACACGGCCCAGACGCCUACGGGAGGCAGCAGUGGGGAAUAUUGCACAAUGGGCGCAAGCCUGAUGCAGCGACGCCGCGUGAGGGAGGGAGGCCUUCGGGUUGUAAACCUCUUUCGCCAGUGAAGCAGGCCUGCUCCUUGUGGGUGGGUUGACGGUAGCUGGAUAAGAAGCGCCGGCUAACUACGUG